ACCGGCCCCUUAAAAAAAACUAAAAACACUCUACAGAGGGGAAGAGAGAAGUCCUCGGCUCUGGCCUCCAGCUACAGUGCAGUGCUUGCACACGCGCCUCACGCGCUAUCGUACGCGGUGGUCUGAAGGUUCAAAAACCUUCGUCUUUCCACAGGUAACCUCUUUUCUUUUAAACAUUACUUUUUUUUUAAAAAAUAUAUAACAAGAACGAUUCAUAUAUUCGUAGAAAAGAAAACAAAGUAUGGAAAAUAAUCACCUUCUGAAAUAUUAUUGCAGAUGUUUUGUGUACAAUGUUUUUGUGAUGUGUUUUUCUUUAUGUCUGUGUCUAUGUAUGUUUCUGUUUCUCUCUGUGUAUGUAUUUUUUUUCUUCUGUCCUUUUUCGUAUAUCUCCAGCGUACCCCUUUACAGAUUUGAGAAAAGGCUUUAUAGCCUUAAUCUACUGCCUAUUUUGGAAAGAAAUCAAAAGAUUUCUUUCCAAACCCUGUUCUAACCUAUUUGCUGUAGUUUUUCUUUGAUUUCUUUCCUUUUCUUGUAGGUGGUUGCGAGGAUCUCGUGGCAAGACAAGGCUGAGAUGUAGCGCGAUGGAGCCUUGACGAUGGUCGUGCUGUUCGUGACGUGAUUCGGGGCCAAACAAAGGGACGACUGGUGAUCGAGGCAUUGAUGGGCAUUGAAAGCCCUUGGGACAGCACAUUGAAUGGUGGCCUCGAUUUGUGGGUUGGCAGACGCUCCCCAAAGCUUCCAGAAGAUGUUGCGUCGCCACAGUGUUUUAGGAAACCCUAGGGUUUCCUGUUUCCCUUAAGUCCAUUGGGCCUUUUGGGCUGUUUUAAAUUUGGGCUUGCUCGGUAGCUGUAAUUGGGUCAUAUUUAGGUUUGGGUUACAGGUGUAUUUGGGCAUACGGGUAGUGGUACUUAGUUCUGAAAGUUUUAAUGUUUGGCUAAUAGUAUUUGGGCUCUUGUAAGCUGGACUAUGGACAGUUUAAAUAAAUAAAUACUUAUUUAUUUAAUUUUUUGUUUCCAGCGCGGUCAAAUUUGGGCUAUUAUAAGAAUAAUUUGAGAAAAAUGGGUUGAUACAUCUAAUAGGUGCUACUCAUUUGUUG
rnacentral:lncRNA from 1 species